rnacentral:rRNA from 1 species
GACGAACGCUGGCGGCGUGCCUAACACAUGCAAGUCGAACGGACGAGAUGGCUUCGGCCAUCGAGUUAGUGGCGGACGGGUGAGUAACGCGUGAGCAACCUGCCUCACAGAGGGGAUAACACACGGAAACGUGUGCUAAUACCGCAUAAUUCAUACUUGUGGCAUCACGGGUAUGGCAAAGGAGCAAUCCGCUGUGAGAUGGGCUCGCGUCCGAUUAGAUAGUUGGCGGGGUAACGGCCCACCAAGUCUGCGAUCGGUAGCCGGACUGAGAGGUUGAUCGGCCACAUUGGGACUGAGACACGGCCCAAACUCCUACGGGAGGCAGCAGUGAGGGAUAUUGCACAAUGGGCGAAAGCCUGACGCAGCGACGCCGCGUGAGCGAAGAAGGCCUCGGUCGUAAGCUCUGUCCUUGGGAGAAGGCGAAGACUGACGGUACCAACGAAGAAAGACCCGGCGUAACUACGUGCCAGCAGCCGCGGUAACGAUACUCG